rnacentral:rRNA from 1 species
AGCGAACGCUGGCGGCAGGCCUAACACAUGCAAGUCGAACGAACUCUUCGGAGUUAGUGGCGGACGGGUGAGUAACACGUGGGAACGUGCCUUUUGGUUCGGAAUAACUCAGGGAAACUUGUGCUAAUACCGAAUGUGCCCUUCGGGGGAAAGAUUUAUCGCCAUUAGAGCGGCCCGCGUCUGAUUAGCUAGUUGGUGAGGUAACGGCUCACCAAGGCGACGAUCAGUAGCUGGUCUGAGAGGAUGACCAACCACACUGGGACUGAGACACGGCCCAGACUCCUACGGGAGGCAGCAGUGGGGAAUCUUGCGCAAUGGGCGAAAGCCUGACGCAGCCAUGCCGCGUGAAUGAUGAAGGUCUUAGGAUUGUAAAAUUCUUUCACCGGGGACGAUAAUGACGGUACCCGGAGAAGAAGCCCCGGCUAACUUCGUG